AGUAUCAAUUCUCCACAUAACCUUGCAGUUACGACAUACAUGUUGGAGCAGGUCGGCAUUGCUUUUCCUGACACAGACAGCGACGUGAUAACAGCUGCUUGCAAGACUUAUUUUGAGUCUUUGAAAAGGAGCCAUCGUCUCGAUCAGCCAGAAAAUGCUCCCCAGAAAAAGAAAUUAAACAAUGCAAUGAAGACUAGACAACGGAAAACAAGGUUGCUGGCCUCCAGGGCUAGAUGUGUACAGACUCCCGCUGAAAUGGCUGCGUGGG